CUCCCCCUCCCCUGAGAUAUAGCCGAUAACAGCUUACUGUCCCUUUGACUGAAGCAGGACUUAUUACUUAUUGUUUACGACUACUAAAGUUCACAAUUACAAACCUUUCUCUGUGUUACAGGCUUCCCCAAAAUCGAAUUGAAAGGUUUCCUCGAAGCUUCUCGGUUGAGAAGAGAACGCCAGCGAUCGUAAUACUUUCGUGACAGAUAUUCGCAUAUCUGUCGUUGCCUCGCGAGGCGAUCCUUCUCUUUCCACAACUCAGUCGCAAGUGUUCUCUCCUUUUCAAGGCUCCUUUGUCGUCGUUUUGUUUUUCUCCUUUCUCUAUUCAUUCGCCUUAUUUCUUCUUUCGUGUUUUCUCGGCUCUUUUUUCCCAUAGGGACCUAAACAAUGUCACACUUAUUCCCGGGCUGAUUACUUUUUUCGUUCCCGCGUUCGAAAUUCGCGGCGGGAAAAAAUUCCCUUUCCCAAAUAAGGUCAUACAUGAUUUUGUCCCCAGUGUUCUUGCGGUAGUCGAACCAUAUGUGGAAACGCUUUAUCGGAGCCCAUGGUAGCAUAUGUCAGCGGAUUUUUAUCUUGGAUGUCAUUUUGUGUCGUGAAUGACUUCAAGGUUUUCGUUGUGGGAACGCUUUUAUUUCCGGUCAGAAACAUGGAUAUUUGACCUCAACUGAACAGGUUCAGCCACAGAAAACUGUAAGAUUUUUCAGCCUUGACGAUAAUUAUGCAGCUCAAAGGAAAUAAUUCUGAAAGUCAAGUAGAAACCAGGACAAGCUGUGGACAAUCAGAACAACCACCUGAUAUGACAUUUGGGUCAAUUGUCUGGAGAGCUCUACAUUCAUUUCCUGUAAGUGAGCUGGUUUGGUCUCAAACGAAGAAUCAAGACGGUCUCGUUGUCUUGUCGCUCACCAAGACACCUGAAAGAUAAAAUACGAUUUACGUACAUGUUUCAAACUUUGGACAAGUAAAUGUAGCUUUCCUUGCGCUUGUUGAAGUCAAGGUUCAUAAAGAGCCUAUAAAACAUGUACACUGAGCAGGUUGUUUAUAAAUCUUUUACCAGUCGAGAAAGGCUGGAGGUUAGUUAUAAUUGACAGAUAAUACAUGUAAGUCAGGGAGAGAAUAGGAAUAAAGAAUUCUAUCUUGAUGUUUGAUUGUUAUUUUUUUUUUUUUUCUUGAGGCCUCAAUUUUAUCAUGUAUGUUCUUUUUAAUGUCUGCAGUAAAUAGACUCUUUUUUACUUACUCGCUCACCCAUUCACACUGAAUAAUUACCUUAAAAGGGAAGUCUUUUCCCAUUCAUCUUCUACUUUCUGCUUGUAUUUUCUGUAGCACUGUCUCUGUUCUCUCUUGGCUUCGGUUAGGGACUUUCUCUUCCGAAGCUGGAGCUCUGGGAGUUUGGUUAAAACCUCUCCAAAGGAUGUACUGCAUACUUUCUGAAAGGUGGCAUCUAUUUUGUUGUAGAGAGCCCUGGCAAUGUCUUUGACUUCUCCUGCUUUCCUUGGUCUAAUCUUCUCUUUGCCAGCAGUAAAAAAGGGAUUUUCCUUUGCUAUCCCCAAAAAUUGAUUCGACUUCACAGGGAGUAAAGC